rnacentral:rRNA from 1 species
GACGAACGCUGGCGGCGUGCUUAACACAUGCAAGUCGAACGGAAAGGCCCUGCUUUUGUGGGGUGCUCGAGUGGCGAACGGGUGAGUAACACGUGAGUAACCUGCCCUUGACUUUGGGAUAACUUCAGGAAACUGGGGCUAAUACCGGAUAGGAGCUCCUGCUGCAUGGUGGGGGUUGGAAAGUUUCGGCGGUUGGGGAUGGACUCGCGGCUUAUCAGCUUGUUGGUGGGGUAGUGGCUUACCAAGGCUUUGACGGGUAGCCGGCCUGAGAGGGUGACCGGCCACAUUGGGACUGAGAUACGGCCCAGUCUCCUACGGGAGGCAGCAGUGGGGAAUAUUGCACAAUGGGCGGAAGCCUGAUGCAGCAACCCCGCGUGCGGGAUGACGGCCUUCGGGUUGUAAACCGCUUUCGCCUGUGACGAAGCGUGAGUGACGGUAAUGGGUAAAGAAGCACCGGCUAACUACGUG